rnacentral:rRNA from 1 species
GGAAUAUUGGACAAUGGGCGCAAGCCUGAUCCAGCCAUGCCGCGUGUGUGAAGAAGGCCUUCGGGUUGUAAAGCACUUUCAGUGGGGAGAAAGGUUAUUACCCUAAUACGUGAGUAAAUUGCUGUUACCCACAGAAGCAGCAACGGCUAACUCCGUGCCAGCAGCCGCGGUAAUACGGAGGGUGCAAGCGUUAAUCGGAAUUACUGGGCGUAAAGCGUACGUAGGUGGUUUGUUAAGCCAGCUGUGAAAUCCCCGGGCUCAACCUAGGCACUGCAGUUGGAACUGGCAAGCUAGAGUAGGGUAGAGGGGUGUGGAAUUCCAGGUGUAGCGGUGAAAUGCGUAGAUAUCUGGAGGAACAUCAGUGGCGAAGGCGACACCCUGGACUCAUACUGACACUGAGGUACGAAAGCGUGGGGAGCAAAC